AAUGAGUUAUCUUGAUACAGAAACUGUGCUGUACCACAGCCAACAGCCUGCUCCUUCUGCCAAGUGGGACCUGUGCCUGGGGGCUGCAGGAGCGGGGAAAGGGCUGUCUGUGGUCCACCCUGCAUCAGGAAGGACAGCCUUUGUCCUGGACACGGCAGCUGUGGCCCUGCGCAAACCUGGGGCAGAGCCACAGUGAGUGGAUGUGCCUGUGGUACCUUCACAUGCCUGGAGUUUGGCAUCUGGGAGCCACCUGCCCCCACGGGACACGCUCACCCAAAGCCACCCAGCCUGGCAGGGAGGACUUUGUGCCACCUUUGGGCUGAUGUGAAGGAGAGGCGUGCUGAGAAGCACAGGGGCCAAGCCGUUGUGUCUGGAGGAAGGAGGAUGCGGGGUGCAGUGGCUGGUGUUUCCCUCCAGCGGUCCUGCCAAGCGGCAAAGAGAGAGAGA